GACGAACGCUGGCGGCGUGCUUAACACAUGCAAGUCGAACGGAAAGGCCCUGCUUUUGUGGGGUGCUCGAGUGGCGAACGGGUGAGUAACACGUGAGUAACCUGCCCUUGACUUUGGGAUAACUUCAGGAAACUGGGGCUAAUACCGGAUAGGAGCUCCUGCUGCAUGGUGGGGGUUGGAAAGUUUCGGCGGUUGGGGAUGGACUCGCGGCUUAUCAGCUUGUUGGUGGGGUAGUGGCUUACCAAGGCUUUGACGGGUAGCCGGCCUGAGAGGGUGACCGGCCAAAAUGGGACUGAGAUGCGGCCCCGACUCCUAAGGGAGGGAGCAGAGGGGAAUAUUGAACAAUGGGAGGAAGCCUGAUGCAACAACGCCGCGUGCGGGAUGACGGCCUUCGGGUUGUAAACCGCUUUCGCCUGUGACGAAGCGUGAGUGACGGUAAUGGGUAAAGAAGCACCGGCUAACUACGUG
rnacentral:rRNA from 1 species